UACGGAGGGUGCAAGCGUUAUCCGGAUUCACUGGGGUUAAAGGGUGCGUAGGUGGGCAAGUAAGUCAGUGGUGAAAUCUCCGGGCUUAACCCGGAAACUGCCAUUGAUACUAUUUGUCUUGAAUACUAUGGAGGUCAGCGGAAUAUGUCAUGUAGCGGUGAAAUGCUUAGAUAUGACAUAGAACACCAAUUGCGAAGGCAGCUGGCUACACAAAUAUUGACACUGAGGCACGAAAGCGUGGGGAUCAAACAGG
rnacentral:rRNA from 1 species